rnacentral:rRNA from 1 species
GAUGAACGCUGGCGGCGUGCCUAACACAUGCAAGUCGAACGGGUCUUAUCCAGUGGCGAACUUCGGUUCAAAGCAGGGUAAGUACUAGUGGCGGACGGGUGAGUAACGCGUGGAUAAUCUGGCCUGGACAACGGGAUAACUGUGAGAAAUCACAGCUAAUACGGUAUAAGCUCACGAUGACGCAUGUCGAUGUGAGAAAAGAUUUAUCGGUUCAGGAUGAGUCCGCGUCUGAUUAGCUAGUUGGUAGGGUAAUGGCCUACCAAGGCGACGAUCAGUAGCCGGCCUGAGAGGGUGAACGGCCACAUUGGGACUGAGACACGGCCCAAACUCCUACGGGAGGCAGCAGUGGGGAAUAUUGCACAAUGGGCGCAAGCCUGAUGCAGCAACGCCGCGUGAAGGAAGAAGGGUUUAGGCUCGUAAACUUCUAUCAACGGGGAAGAAAAUGACGGUACCUGACUAAGAAGCCCCGGCUAAUUACGUGCCAGCCGCCGCCGUAAGAC